rfam:TPA: Bos taurus chromosome 22, whole genome shotgun sequence.
UCCCAGGUGGCUUGGAUGGUAAAGAAUCUGCCUGUAAUGCAGAAGACCAGGGUUCGAUCCCUGGGUUGGGAA